rnacentral:rRNA from 1 species
CCAGACUUUGAUCAUGGCUCAGGAUGAACGCUAGCUACAGGCUUAACACAUGCAAGUCGAGGGGAAACGACAUUGAAAGCUUGCUUUCGAUGGGCGUCGACCGGCGCACGGGUGAGUAACGCGUAUCCAACCUGCCCAUCACUUGGGGAUAACCUUGCGAAAGUAAGACUAAUACCCAAUGACGUCUCUAGAAGACAUCUGAAAGAGAUUAAAGAUUUAUCGGUGAUGGAUGGGGAUGCGUCUGAUUAGCUUGUUGGCGGGGUAACGGCCCACCAAGGCUACGAUCAGUAGGGGUUCUGAGAGGAAGGUCCCCCACAUUGGAACUGAGACACGGUCCAAACUCCUACGGGAGGCAGCAGUGAGGAAUAUUGGUCAAUGGACGAGAGUCUGAACCAGCCAAGUAGCGUGCAGGAUGACGGCCCUAUGGGUUGUAAACUGCUUUUAUAAGGGAAUAAAGUGAGUCUCGUGAGACUUUUUGCAUGUACCUUAUGAAUAAGGACCGGCUAAUUCCGUGCCAGCAGCCGCGGUAAUACGGAAGGUCCGGGCGUUAUCCGGAGUUAUUGGGUUUAAAGGGAGCGUAGGCCGGAGAUUAAGCGUGUUGUGAAAUGUAGACGCUCAACGUCUGCACUGCAGCGCGAACUGGUUUCCUUGAGUACGCACAAAGUGGGCGGAAUUCGUGGUGUAGCGGUGAAAUGCUUAGAUAUCACGAAGAACUCCGAUUGCGAAGGCAGCUCACUGGAGCGCAACUGACGCUGAAGCUCGAAAGUGCGGGUAUCGAACAGGAUUAGAUACCCUGGUAGUCCGCACGGUAAACGAUGGAUGCCCGCUGUUGGUCUGAAUAGGUCAGCGGCCAAGCGAAAGCAUUAAGCAUCCCACCUGGGGAGUACGCCGGCAACGGUGCAACUCAAAUGAAUUGACGGA